rfam:Ictidomys tridecemlineatus contig022489, whole genome shotgun sequence.
GGGGAUAUAGCUCAAUUGGUAGAGUGCUUGCCUUAAAUGCACAAGGCCCUGGGUUCUAAUCCCCAGCACCCCCC